rnacentral:rRNA from 1 species
CUGGAUGUGGCCAAAGCUGGCCUCUCCACGGAAGCUAGCGCCAGAGGAUGAGCCUGCGGCCCAUCAGCUAGUUGGUAGGGUAACGGCCUACCAAGGCAAAGACGGGUAGCUGGUCUGAGAGGACGAUCAGCCACACUGGCACUGAAACACGGGCCAGACUCCUACGGGAGGCAGCAGUGGGGAAUCUUGGUCAAUGGGCGCAAGCCUGAACCAGCGACGCCGCGUGAGUGAUGAAGGCCUUCGGGUUGUAAAGCUCUGUGGGGAGAGACGAAAAAAGUCCGGGCGAACAGGCCGGAUUCUUGACGGUAUCUCCUUAGCAAGCACCGGCUAACUCUGUGCCAGCAGCCGCGGUAAGACAGAGGGUGCGAACGUUGCUCGGAAUUACUGGGCGUAAAGCGCGUGUAGGCGGACCGACAAGUCAUGUGUGAAAUCCCCGGGCUCAACCCGGGAACUGCACGUGAAACUGUCGGCCUUGAGUGCCGGAGAGGGUGGCGGAAUUCCUGGUGUAGAGGUGAAAUUCGUAGAUAUCAGGAGGAACACCGGUGGCGAAGGCGGCCACCUGGACGGCUACUGACGCUGAGACGCGAAAGCGUGGGGAGCAAACAGGAUUAGAUACCCUGGUAGUCCACGCCGUAAACGAAGAGCGCUAGGUGUCGCGGGUAUUGACCCCCGCGGUGCCGAAGCUAACGCAUUAAGCGCU